GUCCUUUUGUUUAUUAAUUUAAGGUUUAACCUGCCCAAUGAGGAAUUCAAUGGCCGCAGUAUUUUAACUGUGCUAAGGUAGCAUAAUCAUUUGUCUUUUAAUUGAGGGCUGGAAUGAAGGGUUGGACGAGGCAUUAGCUUUCUUUGAUUUAAUUUAGGAAUUUAAUUUUUGAGUUAAAAAGCUUAAAUUUAUUUAUGGGACGAGAAGACCCUAUAGAUCUUUAUGGUUUUAUGUUUUAAUAAUUUAGGGAUUUAUAUAUUUUAAGCAGAUGAAUUAUUUUGUUGGGGUGACUGUAGAAUUUAAAUAACUUCUAUUUUUUAUUUUCAUUAAUUAAUGUUCUUUUGAUCCAUAAUUUAUGAUUAGAAGAAUAAGUUACCUUAGGGAUAACAGCGUAAUUUCCUCGGAGAGUUCAUAUUGAUGAGGGAGUUUGCGACCUCGAUGUUGGAUUAAAAUAAGUUGUGGAUGCAGGAGUCUAUUUACUAGGUCUGUUCGACCUUUGAAUUUUU
rnacentral:rRNA from 1 species